GAAACAGUUGCUAAGACUGGAUAGGAAAUUAGAAGGCAUCUUUUAAUUUUUAAAAGACCUUUUUCGAAAGGUAUACUUAAAGAGGGGCUUGCGGCACAUUAGUUAGUUGGUAGGGUAAAAGCCUACCAAGACCAUGAUGUGUAGCUGGACUGAGAGGUUGAACAGCCACAUUGGGACUGAGACACGGCCCAAACUCCUACGGGAGGCAGCAGUAGGGAAUUUUCGGCAAUGGAGGAAACUCUGACCGAGCAACGCCGCGUGAACGAUGAAGUAUUUCGGUAUGUAAAGUUCUUUUAUUGAAGAAGAAAAAAUAGUGGAAAAACUAUCUUGACGAUAUUCAAUGAAUAAGCCCCGGCAAACUAUGUGCCAGCAGCCGCGGUAAUACAUAGGGGGCGAGCGUUAUCCGGAAUUAUUGGGCGUAAAGGGUGCGUAGGCGGUUUGGUAAGUCUAUAGUUUAAUUUCAGUGCUUAACACUGUUCUGCUAUAGAAACUAUCAGACUAGAGUGAGAUAGAGGCAAGUGGAAUUCCAUGUGUAGCGGUAAAAUGCGUAAAUAUAUGGAGGAACACCAGAGGCGUAGGCGGCUUGCUGGGUCUUUACUGACGCUGAGGCACGAAAGCGUGGGGAGCAAACAGGAUUAGAUACCCUGGUAGUCCACGCCGUAAACGAUGAGUACUAAGUGUCGGGGAAACUCGGUACUGAAGUUAACACAUUAAGUACUCCGCCUGAGUAGUACGUACGCAAGUAUGAAACUUAAAGGAAUUGACGGGACUCCGCACAAGCGGUGGAUCAUGUUGUUUAAUUCGAAGAUACACGAAAAACCUUACCAGGUCUUGACAUACUCUGCAAAGCUAUAGCAAUAUAGUGGAGGUUAUCAGGGAUACAGGUGGUGCAUGGUUGUCGUCAGCUCGUGUCGUGAGAUGUUAGGUUAAGUCCUAAAACGAGCGCAACCCUUGUCACUAGUUGCCAGCAUGUUAUGAUGGGCACUUUAGUGAGACUGCCAAUGAAAAAUUGGAGGAAGGUGAGGAUCACGUCAAAUCAUCAUGCCCCUUAUGAUCUGGGCUACAAACGUGAUACAAUGGCUGUUACAAAGAGUAGCUAAAACGCGAGKUUAUAGCCAAUCUCAUAAAAGCAGUCUCAGUUCGGAUUGAAGUCUGCAACUCGACUUCAUGAAGUUGGAAUCGCUAGUAAUCGCGAAUCAGCAUGUCGCGGUGAAUACGUUCUCGGGGUUUGUACACACCGCCCGUCA
rnacentral:rRNA from 2 species